GAUUCCUUUGCAGAUGGCUUCCUGCUCGCUUGCAAUUGCAAAACUCCACGGAGGCAAUUACCACGAUUGCAGACAUGGGAAUGUGACAUUAGGAAAGCAUUUCAUGUAUUCUCAGCAUCUGCUGCAAACGGAAACCUCGGGGAGAUGCUGUGGGCAGGACUGGCUCAAAUCAGGUUGGCUGGAAGUUCCCAUCCAGCCUGGACUCGACGUGCAGGUGCUCUCUGAGGGCACAUCCAAAGGGUGACCCAGCUGGUGACCCAGGGGACACGGAUGGCUUGUCCUCUGGUGGUGCUYCAUCCGCUGCCAAAGAAACUGCCCCAGAAAUGAUGAGCCAGUGCUGUUUCACCUCCAUGGAGUUGCAGGCUGACAAAUCAGGAGAUCUGCCUGCCUGAGUUUCAUUUCAAAGGCCUUGUAGAAGCUGAGCUGAGAAGAAGUGGCAAAGGAUGGGAAUUUCUUAAACUGGAUUUGUGACAUCUCAGUUUUGGAGGGGAUGGCACAGCACAUGACAAUAUUUAACCCUUUCCCCACCUCCCCCAGGAUUUUGGGGAGCUCUGCGGGGCCGUGGUUGCGACAACUCUCUUAUGCAACCCCGGCUGCGUCUGCUCACGGCUGCCAGAUUGUGGAAAUCUGCAAAUAAUUGCAAAGUCUGCCAGUUUAAUUGGAUUGUGGUGUAUUUGCACAGAUGGGUGAAGUCUUCCAGGCCAAUAUUUUCCAGAGUGACUGAGCAGUCUCACAGCUUUAAGAUACUCAGYAUGAGAGAACUUUGACGCAAUGGGUUUCCACAUUUCCAGAUUUUUUUAAGAGAAGCACCCCCCAAACUGAAAUAAUCCAAACCAUCAAUCACCCAGAAAUCCCCUGCACGAGACCUUGAGAUGGGGGAAUCUCUCACAGUAGCUUGAUGUAAGCCAAACUAAAUUCAUAAAAAUAAUACAAGACAGCUUAACACGUCAUUUGUUCAGCAGAAAAAUCCAGCGUGAGUGUGGAUGUGUGCAGGCAUUUUUACAGGAAUUAUAAGGAAUAAAUGAACAUYUGUAAAAUAAGAGGAGGAGGAAAAGAAAGGCGUUUUAUUUCAUGUGCGAGAGCCGGCUGUUGUUGUUGUURUUAUUUCUUUUAAUGAGGGACAAAAUGUUACUGUGGAACAUUGUCCCUGUGUGCUCUGGCCCUUUUCCAGGCCCAGAGCUCAGGACUUGCUGGGGAAGAGAAAGCCUUGUACUUGACUUUCUGAAAGAUAGGCUGUUAUCUCUUKUGAGAGGCUGCAAAGGAAAAUAAUCAAAUUAUUUAUUAAUUAAAUAUAAACUCUGUCAAAUUGYUCAGAAGCAACUCGCCCCAGGACCCAAGCUAUAGAUGCCCAAUAUCUGAAUUUCCAAAAGAAAAAAACAGUUUAUCAACAUCAUCAUCAGCUUUUUCUACCACAAAUUUGCAGGGACACAAGGAAGCUGUAGAGGAUGCUGCUGUUCUCACUGAGAGCUCCACUCAAUCACCUGCACAAAAUCUGCCAUUUGUAAGCAGAAAUAAAUGCUUAAACACUGUUAGGAUGUUUAGAGAAGUGGUAAG